GAUUAGAUACCCUAGUAUACUUAUUAUAUAAUAUUAGUAAAAUUUUUUAAAAAUUAAUAAUUUUGGCGGUUAAAUUAUAAGUUUAGAGGAGCUUGUUUUAUAGUAAGAUAUUACUCUCUAUAUUUUAAUAUUAAAAAGUUUAUUCAUCUCUGUUAUUAAAUUUAAAAUUUAAGAAUAAUAUAGUUAUAAAUUUCAGGUCAAGAUGUAGCUUUAAGUAUAAAAAAUUAGCUACAAUUAUACAAUAUAUGUAUAUUUACUUUUUAAUUAAUUAUUAUAAAUUGAAUUUAGUUGUAAUAAUUAUUAGAAUGUAAUUAUGAUUUUAUGUAAUUAAUGUAUAUAUUGCCCGACACUUCUUUAUUAUUAAA
rnacentral:rRNA from 1 species